UGAGUAACGCGUGGGAAUCUACCCAUCUUUACGGAACAACUCCGGGAAACUGGAGCUAAUACCGUAUACGUCCUUCGGGAGAAAGAUUUAUCGGAGAUGGAUGAGCCCGCGUUGGAUUAGCUAGUUGGUGGGGUAAUGGCCUACCAAGGCGACGAUCCAUAGCUGGUCUGAGAGGAUGAUCAGCCACAUUGGGACUGAGACACGGCCCAAACUCCUACGGGAGGCAGCAGUGGGGAAUAUUGGACAAUGGGCGAAAGCCUGAUCCAGCCAUGCCGCGUGAGUGAUGAAGGCCCUAGGGUUGUAAAGCUCUUUCAACGGUGAAGAUAAUGACGGUAACCGUAGAAGAAGCCCCGGCUAACUUCGUGCCAGCAGCCGCGGUAAUACGAAGGGGGCUAGCGUUGUUCGGAAUUACUGGGCGUAAAGCGCACGUAGGCGGAUAUUUAAGUCAGGGGUGAAAUCCCGGGGCUCAACCCCGGAACUGCCUUUGAUACUGGGUAUCUCGAGUCCGAGAGAGGUGAGUGGAAUUCCGAGUGUAGAGGUGAAAUUCGUAGAUAUUCGGAGGAACACCAGUGGCGAA
rnacentral:rRNA from 1 species